ensembl:snRNA U6 U6 spliceosomal RNA
GUGCUUGCUUUGGCGGCACAUAUCCUAAAAUUAGAACAAUACGGAGAAAGUUAGCAUGACUUCUGCAUAAGGAGGAAGCACAGAUCUUUGAAGCAUUCCAUAUUUUG